rnacentral:rRNA from 1 species
GGGAAUCUGCCCUUGGGUUCGGAAUAACAGUUAGAAAUGACUGCUAAUACCGGAUGAUGUCUUCGGACCAAAGAUUUAUCGCCCAGGGAUGAGCCCGCGUAGGAUUAGGUAGUUGGUGGGGUAAAAGCCUACCAAGCCGACGAUCCUUAGCUGGUCUGAGAGGAUGAUCAGCCACACUGGGACUGAGACACGGCCCAGACUCCUACGGGAGGCAGCAGUGGGGAAUAUUGGACAAUGGGCGAAAGCCUGAUCCAGCAAUGCCGCGUGAGUGAUGAAGGCCUUAGGGUUGUAAAGCUCUUUUACCCGGGAUGAUAAUGACAGUACCGGGAGAAUAAGCUCCGGCUAACUUCGUGCCAGCAGCCGCGGUAAUACGAGGGGAGCUAGCGUUAUUCGGAAUUACUGGGCGUAAAGCGCACGUAGGCGGCUUUGUAAGUAAGGGGUGAAAGCCCAGAGCUCAACUCUGGAAUAGCCUUUUAGACUGCAUCGCUUGAAUCCAGGAGAGGUGAGUGGAAUUCCGAGU